rnacentral:rRNA from 1 species
UACGUAGGGGGCUAGCGUUGUCCGGAAUCAUUGGGCGUAAAGCGCGUGUAGGCGGCCCGGUAAGUCCGCUGUGAAAGUCGGGGGCUCAACCCUCGAAUGCCGGUGGAUACUGUCGGGCUAGAGUACGGAAGAGGCGAGUGGAAUUCCUGGUGUAGCGGUGAAAUGCGCAGAUAUCAGGAGGAACACCAAUGGCGAAGGCAGCUCGCUGGAACGGUACUGACGCUGAGGCGCGAAAGCGUGGGGAGCGAACAGG